AUUGAACGCUGGCGGAAUGCUUUACACAUGCAAGUCGAGCGGCAGCGCGGGGCAACCUGGCGGCGAGCGGCGAACGGGUGAGUAAUACAUCGGAACGUACCCAGUUGUGGGGGAUAGCCCGGCGAAAGCCGGAUUAAUACCGCAUACGACCUGAGGGUGAAAGGGGGGGAUCGCAAGACCUCUCGCAGUUGGAGCGGCCGAUGGCGGAUUAGCUAGUUGGUAGGGUAAAGGCCUACCAAGGCGACGAUCCGUAGCGGGUCUGAGAGGACGACCCGCCACACUGGAACAGAGACACGGUCCAGACUCCUACGGGAGGCAGCAGUGGGGAAUUUUGGACAAUGGGGGCAACCCUGAUCCAGCCAUUCCGCGUGAGUGAAGAAGGCCUUCGGGUUGUAAAGCUCUUUCGGCAGGAACGAAACGGUCCUUUCUAAUAAAGAGGGCUAAUGACGGUACCUGAAGAAGAAGCACCGGCUAACUACGUGCCAGCAGCCGCAGUAACAC
rnacentral:rRNA from 1 species